AGCUCUGAUGGCGUAUAUUAAAUUUGUUGCAGUUAAAAAGCUCGUAGUAGAAUCGAUGGUCAGUCGAUGGAAUCCCUUUCAGGGAACCUUUGAUCGGCCAGGCAUCUCACGAUGCCUCGUUACUUUGAGAAAAAUAGAGUGUUUCAAGCGGGCAUAUGCUUAUAUAGUGUACCGUGGAAUAACAAUCAGGCUGCAUUUCCGCUUUUCAACUCUCGGAAAUGUGGUGCGUGUUGAGAGGAACAAUCGGGGUCUCUUAGAUCGAAGAGUGAGAGGUGAAAUUCUUAGAUCUCUUCGGGAUAAACUAGUGCGAAGGCAUUCGACAAGGAUGUUUCUUUUU
rnacentral:rRNA from 1 species